UUGGAACACAUAUACUUUCUCAGGAAGGGAUAAGGGGGAAUUGGGAAGGGAAUCACCAUCUUGAAUCUGCCCCUUUGAGUAAGUUCAGCAAAACCACUGUCUGUCUAGACACUCAGCUUGACUCCAGUCUGGGACAUCAUGAUGAUGUCAUUGUUAAAGUCCUACUUUUGUUUCCAUGGGGACAUCUUUCCCUGGCUUCUGCUGUCCUGGUUUCUCAUUCUUCUGCUUCCAUGCUCUAGUGAGGCUGUCCCCCAGACCCCAGGUUCAACAGAAAAGUGACCCCCUGCUUACUCCCCAUCUCUGGUUCUUCUACCUCUUACUUAUCUUCCUCCUCCCCCUUUAGAAAUAGAUGGAGCUCAGUUCUUCACCUUUUUCACAGGCUUGUCUCCUUCCUCCCCUUGUUAUAAGUUGUUCACCAGGCACUUAAUAAAUGCUUAUUUUCUUUCCUUCAACAGGCUAAAUAGAACAGCCCUGGUGAACUUCCUAGCUGCCAGUGGGCAUUGACUUCCAAUGACCCCUUCUGCUUGCAAGAUAAAAAUAAAUAACUUACUUAAUAAAGCUGGAUUACUAGAACUUCAGAAAAAAAUCAAAGAAGCUUUUGAGGUGUUUGACCAUGAAGCCAAUGACACUGUGGAUGUUAGAGAAAUUGGUACAAUUAUCAGAUCAUUAGGCUGCUGUCCAAGUGAAGGAGAACUGCACGAUUUGAUAGCAGAGGUAGAAGAAGAAGAACCCACAGGAUACAUUCGCUUAGAAAAAUUUCUCCCAAUGAUGGUUAAAGUGCUCUCGGAAAGAAGAUACAGACCAAUUCCAGAAGAUCUUCUUCUUCAAGCAUUUGAGGUGUUAGACUCAGCUAAAGAGGGAUUUCUUACUAAAGAAGAGCUGGUUAAGUAUAUGACUGAAGAAGGUUUUCUGUAUACUACUUUCUCCUGGUCCUCCUCCUCCUUGUCUGACUUCUUCCCAGUUUCCUUUGAUUGAGCACUUUGGUAGAGAGAUUCUUCUCUUACCCAGGAAUAAGAGAUCAAGGUGUUUGGAAGGUCACAGAAGAGUCAUACCAGGUGUGGGAUGCUGGAAGGAGCCCAGAAGAUUGAGCAGGAGCCAGUACAAGAUGUUCAGAGCAGCAGGACCCCUGUAGACAUGUGGAAUCUUCCCUUUGCCAUUUUCUCAUAAUACAUCAUAUAACUAACUGUCAUAUAUCUGCCAAGCUUGUUUAACACUAUCAGAGCUAAAGAAGGACUCUAGGGUAAAUGGCAGAGCUGAAGACACAAAUGCAGAAUAUUUAGUGCUCAUGAAAAGUGUGGGUGUAGUAUCUGUUCUCUGGGAGAUAAGGAAUGGAAAUUUUGAUUCUGCAGAAGGGAGAAGAAGCCAAGAUGUUUAGAUAUUCCUUUCCAUCCUCCUUUCCCAACCUCCAUACUCCCCUCAAUCAAAAAACUCCAAACAUAUCACUUCUGUUUCAUAUAUAAAAAUUAUGUGUCUGAAUACAAGAAAGCAAUGAUGAUGACAAUCUCAUUAGUACCAAUCACAUAUACAUUUUAGCAUGACUCAGUAUGUUUAGAGUAAAAAUAUAAGGACAGAGUUGAUUUUGCUCUGCUUAACUUUCAGUUUCUUCAGAAUAACAGUGAAAAGAGAAAGAUACAUUAAAAGGACAUCAAACAAGAGGAUGUAAGAGCUUCACAACUUCCUUCCUUGAUCUCUCUUAACAAGCACUCAUUGGUAUGCAUGGUAAUGUUCUCCUGUUUUAAAAAUCCCCUGCCUUCUCCUUCAAAGACAAUUCCCAGAUGCCUUCAUGUAAAAAUUUCAUGUAUGAAUCAUAAUGAAAACUGACUAGUUUGCCAUUGAUCUUUUUCCAACAGUCUGUUUCCUCCAUUCUUCAUUUUUUUAUGUUGCUGGAUAAUUUGAAAGUAAAUUGACUCAUUCUUGAGCAGGUUUCCUGUUUCUUGAAUGAAAUAGAGAAGGAAUUCACUGUAGUUUUGAAACUAAAGAGUGAUGCUAUUGAUAAAAAAGUAUUGAAAUUAUUAUAUGAAUACUGAGUGGGACAAUGGGGACUGUUACUGGACCAGUCCUUCUAAAGAGAUUGGGGGUAGUGACUCAUGGAGGCAUCUCUCAUAGAUGACAGACUCAUAAGUAAUGGGGAAGAGGAGUACUGUAGGUGUAAUAAAAAAAACAGUGAAAUGAAAAUCAUCCUGCUUGCCAUUUAAAAAAUAUUAUUUAUUCUAAACUUAAUCAUCAUAAUAAUUAACAUUUUAUAGUGUUUUAAAGUUUGUAAAAUGAUUUAGAUACAUUAUCCCAUUAAAGCUUUGUGACAACUUUGUGAUUAUGGUACUGCAGGUAUCUAUAUAGUAACCAUAAAUGAAAACAAACAUUCAAAUAUGUGUACAAAAAAUAAAAUUUAUUUAAAGUUGUAUAAAAACAUGUAUAUUGACUUUAACAAGGUAGGAACAAAAAUGUUCUCUUUGUUUUCAUAUUUCCUUCUGCAUAUUUUUCCAUUUUUGUUUCCUUGCUAUUUUAGAUGGGACAUGGUUUGUUAUCAUUGAUUAUCAACCUUCACUUUAGCCUAGACUCUAGAAAGUGGGGAUGCAAAAACUAGAAAAUUCAGAGUAUAAAGAAGGUACUAGGACUUCCAGUGCCAAUAUGGCAGAAUGAUGAAGGAACACUCUGAAGCUCUCCCAAAUUCCCCUUCAAAGUACUAGAACAUCACCUCCAAAUUGGUCUAGAAACAGGGAAGCAGCUUAUCAGUAUGACAGGAAAGCUCACUGGAUUAGGAAGGAGUGAAGUUCAACAGCAGCAGCCACAAUAUGGGGGCUUUCAACAAGGUUCCAAACCUUGUUGAGGUUCCAUCCUUCUGUAAAUCAGCAACAUCCUAGACAAGUUAUUAGUCUGUGCUGCUCAGCAAAGUCCCAUCCCAGCAAACCCAUUCUUAGCACAAGCCACUAGGGAGGCCUUGAUCCUAUUGCUGACCAGUAGUGAAGUCCUGUCCCAAGCCUGUCCAACAAUGAAAUUCUACCUGGGGAAAUACCUUGUUUCCAUAGCAACCCACCAGCAGGAUCACGCCCCUGGGGCAGAUCAGCAAUAAGAUCUCCAGGGCCAGUCACUAGAAAGACUCUGUUACCAUAGCAACACAGAAGCAAGGCCCCAAUUUUGGAGCAGGCUAGCAGCCAAACCCUACAUCCAGGGGAGAGCAAUAGAGAGGUCCACCCUCCAAUACAAGCCAGAAGGGAAACCUACCCUCCAGAGAAAGCAAGAAGCUAAGUCUUGAAAUCCAGUGAAAGCUGGCAGAAAAACCCAAAGCCCCAGCACAAAAAAACUUGAAACAAUGUAGGACCAGAACCUAACUCUCCCACAAAAACACCAAGUCACCAAAAAAGAGAGAAAAAUGAGCAAAAAACAAAAAAGGAGCUGAUUAUAGAAAGUUACUAUGGUGAUAGGAAGGAUCAAGGUAUAAACUUAGAAAAAGACAGUACUGUUAAAAUGGCUAUAUGUGAAGACUGAAAGAAAAAUGUAAAUUGGUCUCAGGCCCCAAAAGAAUUCUAGAAGAACUUAAAAGGGAUUUAAAAGGCAAAUUAAAGAAAUAAAAAAAAUGGAGAAAGAAAUUAGAGUAAUACAAGAGAAUCAUGGAAAAAGAGUCAACAGUAUGGGGAAAGAUAUAGAAAUAUUUCUCAAGGAAAAUAACUUUUAUUGAAUUUGUCAAAUGGAAAAGGAAGUUAAAAAGUUCACUGAAGAAAAUAAUUAUUUUAAAAUUAGAAUUCAAUAAGUGAAAAGUAAUGACUCUACAAAACAUCAACAAUCAAUAAAAGAAAAUAAAAAAAAUAGAAGAAAAUAUGAAAUUUCUCACUGGAAAAACAACUAACUAGAAAAUAGAUCCAGAAAAGAUAAUACAAAAAUUAUUGGAUUACC